rnacentral:lncRNA from 1 species
GACGCCACCUCGUUGCUAUAGCCUCUCCACUUCUCCUAUCAUCGAUCUACACUCUCGCAUCACCGCUCCUCCCUUUCACAACACCACCUCUUCUAUUUUUUUCUUUUCCUCCAUAAGCACCAAACCCCCAAACCACCCUUCCUACCAUAUUAACCAACGUAAUACCUGAAACCCCCAGCACCACCUUUCAAAAAAAUUGACCCAAACCGCGUCGAUGCUGCCAUUCACCGCCAGAUCCAUUUGUUCUUUCAACCUACAUGAAAACCAUGGUUCGAACUCAGAACCAAAUAGUAGAUAAUAUUCUAGCCUCGCUCAAUCACGGAGGAAACCAAUU